rnacentral:rRNA from 1 species
GGGGGGACGAGGGUGACAGGUGGUGGCAUGGUUGUCGUCAGCUCGUGUCGUGAGAUGUUGGGUUAAGUCCCGCAACGAGCGCAACCCCUAUUGUUAGUUGCCAUCAUUCAGUUGGGCACUCUAGCGAGACUGCCGGUAAUAAACCGGAGGAAGGUGGGGAUGACGUCAAAUCAUCAUGCCCCUUAUGACCUGGGCUACACACGUGCUACAAUGGUUGGUACAACGAGUUGCGAGUCGGUGACGGCGAGCUAAUCUCUUAAAGCCAAUCUCAGUUCGGAUUGUAGGCUGCAACUCGCCUACAUGAAGUCGGAAUCGCUAGUAAUCGCGGAUCAGCACGCCGCGGUGAAUACGUUCCCGGGCCUU